GAGUUUGAUCAUGGCUCAGGAUUAACGCUGGCGGCAUGCCUAAUACAUGCAAGUCGAACGGAGUAGCAAUACUUAGUGGCGAACGGGUGAGUAACACGUAUCUAAUCUACCAUUUAGUGGGGAAUAACUGUUGGAAACGACAGCUAACACCGCAUAAUAUUGCUGGAUAAUUUCCAGUAAUGAAAGGAGCUUUCAAGCUCCGCUGAUUGAUGAGGAUGCGGCGCAUUAGCUAGUUGGUAGGGUAAUGGCCUACCAAGGCAAUGAUGCGUAGCCGAUCUGAGAGGAUGAACGGCCACAUUGGGACUGAGACACGGCCCAAACUUCUACGGAAGGCAGCAGUAGGGAAUUUUUCACAAUGGGCGAAAGCCUGAUGGAGCAAUGCCGCGUGACUGAUGAAGGUCUUCGGAUUGUAAAGGUCUGUUGUAAGGGAAGAAAUGGUAAAACAGGAAAUGGUUUUAUCUAUGACGGUACCUUACCAGAAAGCCACGGCUAACUAUGUGCCAGCAGCCGCGGUAAUACAUAGGUGGCAAGCGUUAUCCGGAUUUAUUGGGCGUAAAGGGUGCGCAGACGGUUUUGCAAGUCUGAGGUUAAAUUUAGGAGCUCAACUCCUAAUCGCCUUGGAAACUACAAGACUAGAGUAUAGGAGAGGUUAGUGGAAUUCCAUGUGUAGCGGUGGAAUGUGUAGAUAUAUGGAGGAACACCAGUGGGCGUA
rnacentral:rRNA from 1 species